rnacentral:lncRNA from 1 species
UGAUUUCUUUUUCUUGUUUCUUUUCAUAUUUUCACCCUUUCAUAAAAACUCACUUUUCCAAGUUUCUAAUCACAUCUUUUUACUUUACUCUCCCCAACUUUAGAUUCCAAAACCAAAUUUAUUCAAUAAUGCUCCCUACUUAGACAUAAGCAAAAGGCAAAAUUUGCAAACAACUCGGUUUGAGGGUUCAAUUGAUAUGAAAGAAAUUAGGAUUCAUUUAUUCCAAAAUUUUCAAUUGAUUUUACAAUGAUC